rnacentral:lncRNA from 1 species
GAUAUACUAGUAUGUAGAUAUAGGAAGAUGUGGUGUGAGUGCCAAUGAGACAUGCAACUCUCUAUCCAAAUAACAAUUUAUAAAAAGGUAAACCAUUAUAGGUCAAUGUACGGCCUUCAACACGGAGCCUUGGCUCACACCGAACAACAAGCUAUAAAGGGCCCCAAAAUUACUAGUGAAAAAAGAAAUAGCAUAACAUCACAAC